rnacentral:snoRNA from 1 species
GCAUGGAUUUGGAUUUAUGACAGGCUCAUCCCCGUGGCCUCUCAUAGUGUCCCGUGCUAGAGCAAACUGGCUCCUAACCAUUGCCCAGCCUUGGUGCAUGUAGGCUGCUGGCACUGAAGUGGGUCACACAAUG